rnacentral:rRNA from 1 species
CGAUAAGCCGCGAGGAAGGUGGGGAUGACGUCAAGUCNUCAUGGCCCUUACGGGNUGGGCUACACACGUGCUACAAUGGCGGUGACAAUGGGAUGCUAAGGGGCGACCCUUCGCAAAUNUCAAAAAGCCGUCUCAGUUCGGAUUGGGCUCUGCAANUCGGGCCCAUGAAGUUGGAAUCGCUAGUAAUCGUGGAUCAGCACGCCACGGUGAAUACGUUUCCCGGGCNUUGUACACACCGCCCGUCACACCAUGGGAGUUGGUUU